GGAGAAGACCGGCUUCGCAUUUAGGCUUCAAGCUUGAAAGGGACCAGUGUCUGCCAAACGUGACGUACAGACUCCACAUCUACUGACCAUCCAUAUUGAAUAUCUGCACAGAUUAAGUAUUCGAGAACUUAGCAUCUCAGAUUCUAACCAUGAACUAUGAACACUUGGACAGUGAAUUACAAAAAAAUCUAUGCUAUUUGUACUGGGACAUAGCCAACAUCCCAGAGCUAUUGGCAUUAUCUCCUAGCGCAAGCCACCCUACUGCCAUCCAGUACUCCAGCUUUUUACUGUCCAUUGUCACUUGCAUCAUGGGAUUUGCCGGCAACAUUGUUGUCAUCUUCGUCACUGGAUUCUUAAGGAAGAAGAACAAAUCUCAAAUCUGGUUCCUGAAUUUGGCCAUAGCAGACUUCA